CAGCAGCCGCGGGAAUACGAAGGGGGCUAGCGUUGUUCGGAAUCACUGGGCGUAAAGCGCACGUAGGCGGACACUUAAGUCAGAGGUGAAAUCCCAAGGCUCAACCUUGGAACUGCCUUUGAUACUGGGUGUCUUGAGUUCGGGAGAGGUGAGUGGAACUGCGAGUGUAGAGGUGAAAUUCGUAGAUAUUCGCAAGAACACCAGUGGCGAAGGCGGCUCACUGGCCGAUACUGACGCUGAGGUGCGAAAGCGUGGGGAGCAAACAGGAUUAGAUACCCCAGUAGUCCCUGUCUCUUAUACA
rnacentral:rRNA from 1 species